rnacentral:rRNA from 1 species
AACGAACGCUGGCGGCAUGCCUAACACAUGCAAGUCGAACGAGACCUUCGGGUCUAGUGGCGCACGGGUGCGUAACGCGUGGGAAUCUGCCCCUCGGUUCGGAAUAACAGUUAGAAAUGACUGCUAAUACCGGAUAAUGACUUCGGUCCAAAGAUUUAUCGCCGAGGGAUGAGCCCGCGUAAGAUUAGGUAGUUGGUGGGGUAAAGGCCUACCAAGCCGACGAUCUUUAGCUGGUCUGAGAGGAUGAUCAGCCACACUGGAAGUGAGACACGGGCCAGACUCCUACGGGAGGCAGCAGUGGGGAAUAUUGGACAAUGGGCGAAAGCCUGAUCCAGCAAUGCCGCGUGAGUGAUGAAGGCCUUAGGGUUGUAAAGCUCUUUUACCAGGGAUGAUAAUGACAGUACCUGGAGAAUAAGCUCCGGCUAACUCCGUGCCAGCCGCCGCAGUAA